rnacentral:pre_miRNA from 1 species
ACUCCGUCUACCCAGUGUUUAGACUAUCUGUUCAGGACUCCCGCAUUGUACAGUAGUCUGCACAUUGGUUAGGCUGGGCU